rnacentral:lncRNA from 1 species
AAAAAUGGAAGGAAAGUGCGAAACAGAGUUUUGCAGAAACUGGUAUCCACGCGAUCGCAUGGACGACGCGAUCGCGUGCCAGAAGCGAAGAAGCAGCGAUGCGGCCGCAUGACUGACGCGACCGCGCGCCUUAAGUAGAACGCAUACGACGCGGACGCGUGACUGACGCGACCGCGUGGCAAGGAAAAGCUCCAGAUGACGCGACCGCGUGACCCACGCGAACGCGUGACAGAGGCCACGUAU